CCCUUAGAUGUCCUGGGCCGCACGCGCGCUACACUGAACGGAUCAGCGCGUUUUCCCUUCCCGAGAGGGACGGGUAACCUGCUGAACCCCGUUCGUGGUAGGGAUCGGGGCUUGCAAUUAUUCCCCGUGAACCAGGAAUGCCCAGUAAGUGCAAGUCAUAAGCUUGCAUUGAUUACGUCCCUGCCCUUUGUACACACCGCCCGUCGCACCUACCGAUUGAAUGGUCCGGUGAAAUCUCGGGACGGCGGCUUGGUCGCUUGCGUCCGACUGCUGAAACUUGAUUAAACCAUAUCAUUUAGAGGAAGGUGAAGUCGUAACA
rnacentral:rRNA from 1 species